UUGAAUCCAAAGGAUGUUGCUGGCCUUUCGGGGCAUGUGCACUCCACCUUUUCAAUACACCUGUGAACUUAUUGUAGGUGCAGAUGUAAAAAGUCUGUUGUCUACGUUUUUAAUACACCCUUAAAAAGUAUAUUGAAUGUUUAAUUGUGGCCUUUGAUGGUCAACAAACUUAAUA
rnacentral:misc_RNA from 1 species